rnacentral:rRNA from 1 species
AGCGAACGUUAGCGGCGGGCCUAACACAUGCAAGUCGAACGCGAAAGGUCUUCGGACUGAGUAGAGUGGCGCACGGGUGAGUAACACGUAGGUAAUCUACCCUUUGGCGGGGGAUAACGUUCCGAAAGGAGCGCUAAUACCGCAUAAGACCACGGAGUCUCCGGACGCUGUGGGAAAAGGUGGCCUCUUCUUGAAAGCUACCACCGAAGGAUGAGCCUGCGUCCCAUCAGCUAGUUGGUAAGGUAAUGGCUUACCAAGGCGAAGACGGGUAGCUGGUUUGAGAGAAUGAUCAGCCACACUGGCACUGGAACACGGGCCAGACUCCUACGGGAGGCAGCAGUGAGGAAUAUUGGGCAAUGGGCGAAAGCCUGACCCAGCCACGCCGCGUGAGUGAUGAAGGCCCUCGGGUCGUAAAGCUCUGUGGAGAGGGACGAAAACCCUGGUUUCAAAUAGGCUCCAGGCUUGACGGUACCUCUUUAGCAAGCACCGGCUAACUCUGUGCCAGCAGCC